rnacentral:misc_RNA from 1 species
UGACACUCCUCUAACAGAUAUCAUCCUGAAAAUGCAUUUGCUCAUGGUCACGGCAUGCCAGUUUCACGUUUUACCACUAACCUUUGUGAUUUAUAUUUAUUCUCCUUUACGAUUGUUGUUUGUUUCCUUUGUUUUGAUCAUGUUUGUAGCUUCUUAAAGUUAGUAUAUAGCAAUACCAUUACAUUUUAUACCAAACGCAGAAUCUUUGGACAUCAUCUUCCUUUUAGGAACAAGGAAUCUUAUUAUAUUAGAAGGCUCUUCACUCUUGACCACCAUAAAAAUCCUGCUGUGAUUGAGGCAAACAAAACUUGGUCAUCUUCCAACAAACACCCCAGUAAGGUCUAGGCUGCUUCCCCCAAGUGAUGCUUCCCACUCUAUUGAGGCGGUCAAGAUCCGGGAGAGUGCCUGCACAAUUUCUCGCAUCUCUGGUCGAUUUAAUGGAUCUUCACUCAAACACCUCCUAGAUAUUUCUGCCAUCUCACACACUUCUUCCAUGGGAUAGCUUCCUCGGAGGUUAGCAUCUACAUUAGCUUCCAAAACAGUCUCUAUGUCUUCAUUCAUGAAUAUUGUCAACAUAAGUGUCACCAGUGCCUUCAUCUUGUUUGGUUCCCGGUUAUCACGUACAAGAGCGCGCUGACCAGUUAUGAGCUCUGCUAGAACCACUCCGAAUGCAAAGACAUCGGUUUUAGAAUUCAUUUGUAGCUCCCGCACAGAUUCAGGAGCAAUGUAACCUGGUGUUCCAACCAGGCGUGUUGCCAUGAACUCUUCUUCACUUGAUCGUUCUAGUAACUUUGCCAGCCCAAAAUCUGAUACCUUUGCCCUGAGUCCCUGAUCAAGCAGAAUGUUGCUUGUUUUUAUGUCCCGGUGUACAUACUGUGCCUUCGUGU